rnacentral:lncRNA from 1 species
CGAAGAUGAGAAUAUACCAGGUGUGGUGGAGUGAAAGGAAAUGGCUCCCAAAGGGAGUGACACUAUUAGGAGGUGUGGCUUUGUUGGAGUGGGUGUGGCCUUUUGGAGGAAGUAUGCUACUGUCGUGGUGGGCUUUAAGGUCUCCUAUACUCAAGCUACUCCCAGUGAGAGAGACCAUUUCUUGUUCCCUGCAAGGUGUAGGACUCUCAGCUACUUCUCCAGCAUAUGUCUGCUUGCACACCACCAUGUCCCGCCAUGAUGAACUUCUGAACUGUAAGCAAGCCACCCAAACUAAAUGUUUUCCUUUGUAAGAAUUGUGCUUUUACCCCUAGCACUUGGGAGGCAGAGGCAGCUGGAUCUUUGUGAGCUUGAAGCCAGCCUUGUCUACAGAGCUAGUUCCAGGACAGCCAAGGCUACACAAAGAAACCCUGUCUUGAACCAAUCCUGCCUUCGGUGGUCUGUGAGUCUCUUUACAGCAACGGAAACCCUAACUAAGACACCUGGUUUCUCACACCUUCACUUGCCAGCAUCACCCAGCGGAUCACCACCACCGACUCCAAGUGCACAGCAAAGAAUGAUCCGGCGUCUCCCUGAGCUUCCUAACCAGACUCAGCCAGUUCCUGCCAUCUGAUGGACAACAGCAGCAGCCAAUGAUCAUCUCACACCCCCAGGAUAGAACAAACAAGCAGCCUGACAGCUCCGUUGGUUUGCUCCAGAAUAGCCUAGGAAACCAGCCCUUACCCGUGCAUAUUUAAAUAGACUAAUGCUCUCAAAAUUGGUUGAAGACUUGAAAAAAGCAAAGGGAUAGUCCCCGAGUGCCCACAUUUCUAGACUGGAACACAUCUGAUAUUCUGAUGUCCCUUCUAAAUGAGCCACUUUGAUGGAGUUUGCCAAAGAUUAUGGGUAUGUUCCUUUAUUCUAAAGUGUAUGAGGCAGUUUAACGAAACAAGUCUAUUUUUUUUUUUACUUCAUACACUACACUGGAAAUUAUUUAAUUUAUCAUUGCAAAAGGAAGAGGUGACACAGGUUGCAACAUGGAGGAGAAAAGCUGAACACAGUGUGAAAAAUCCUGAACCGAGAGUAGUCAAAUUCACCCACACAAAGUAGAAUGGUGACUGCCAGGGGCUGAUGGGAG